rnacentral:rRNA from 1 species
GCUAACUCAGUGCCAGCCGCCGCGGUAAUACGUAGGGGGCUAGCGUUAUCCGGAAUUACUGGGCGUAAAGGGUGCGUAGGUGGUUUGUUAAGUCAGAUGUGAAAGCCCCGGGCUCAACCUGGGAACUGCAUCUGAUACUGGCAAGCUUGAGUCUCGUAGAGGGGGGUAGAAUUCCAGGUGUAGCGGUGAAAUGCGUAGAGAUCUGGAGGAAUACCGGUGGCGAAGGCGGCCCCCUGGACGAAGACUGACGCUCAGGUGAGAAAGCGUGGGGAGCAAACAGG